rnacentral:lncRNA from 1 species
UUCCUUCCCCAAUCUUUUCCCUUCCCUCUAAUUCACUCAAGGAUUACCACCCAUAGGGAAUCUUUUGCUGAAGGCCUCUCUCAUCUGUCUCUGAACCCAGUAAGCUCCCUUUGCUUGUCUUCAUCCCAUGAGCUUCUGGAGAGAAGGGAACGUGGCUUUUUUGUAAACUCUCCCCAAGUGCGUAGAAGUUGCUGCAUAAACAUAUAUUAAUAACACUUUAGUGGGAGGCUUCCAUAGGGAGGAAGUUCCACUGGGGUAAAAACAUGGGACUUGAGGGAGAUUUUGUUAGUUUCAAUGACAUUGGUUAUCCCACUUUUUAUCCUUAGAAUUGCCCAGCCACAGGUGAGUCUGGUUUGCCUCUGAUCUGGUUUGUAGGUCACACUUGAAGUUCUGGGAUCUCUUUAAUGGGAGGGCUCAGGGUUGCCUUCAGGGAAGAAAGGAGCCUCCAGACAGUUGUAGGGCUUGGGAACCUGGAGUCAAGCAUUCUCUCAUCCCACGUUGGUCCCAAGAAAAACUCCUGAAGUCAGCCCUGCCAGCAAGGGAUGGCCGAGAGCUGCUCAGUGUGGAGUUUCUGGAGUAAUCAGGAUUACACAGGCAGCUGGGAGAUCAAAUUGGGGUGUGUGUUUCUGCUCUGCUGUGUGUGUUGACUGCUAAGUCCCUGAGCAGCCACCCUGGAUCCAGGGAAAGGGCCUCCUCUUGCUAGUUGCGGGUCAAGGCAAUGAGAAAAAUCCUGGAAACUGAGUCUAGGAGUCCACGUGUCCAGCAAUUCCAGGAGCCAGUGGCCAGCAGCUCAACUUUGAAUUUCAGGAGGUCUGUUUCCCAGAUGUCCCUGGCCCUGGCCCCACCCACCAGGGAGCCUCGGAUACCCCAGCUCCCACAACCCCCCUUCCCUACUGAGACACUGUGGUCUUCAGCCAACACCCUCACUGCCUGUCUCCUCCUCCUACUCUGGACCUGGGCCAGUCCCUGCCCCUUUCCAGGCAUGGCACCUCCUUUCAGGCCUCCCCCAUCUUCACCUGGCCCCAUGCCAGCCAGUUAG